UACGGGGGGGGCAAGCGUUGUUCGGAAUUACUGGGCGUAAAGCGCACGUAGGCGGCUUUGUAAGUUAGAGGUGAAAGCCCGGGGCUCAACUCCGGAACUGCCUUUAAGACUGCAUCGCUUGAACGUCGGAGAGGUGAGUGGAAUUCCGAGUGUAGAGGUGAAAUUCGUAGAUAUUCGGAAGAACACCAGUGGCGAAGGCGGCUCACUGGACGACUGUUGACGCUGAGGUGCGAAAGCGUGGGGAGCAAACAGG
rnacentral:rRNA from 1 species